rnacentral:rRNA from 1 species
AGUGAACGCUGGCGGUAGGCCUAACACAUGCAAGUCGAACGGCAGCACAGUAAGAGCUUGCCCUUACGGGUGGCGAGUGGCGGACGGGUGAGGAAUACAUCGGAAUCUACUUUUUCGUGGGGGAUAACGUAGGGAAACUUACGCUAAUACUGCAUACGACCUACGGGUGAAAGCAGGGGAUCUUCGGACCUUGCGCGAUUGAAUGAGCCGAUGUCGGAUUAGCUAGUUGGCGGGGUAAAGGCCCACCAAGGCGACGAUCCGUAGCUGGUCUGAGAGGAUGAUCAGCCACACUGGAACUGAGACACGGUCCAGACUCCUACGGGAGGCAGCAGUGGGGAAUAUUGGACAAUGGGCGCAAGCCUGAUCCAGCCAUACCGCGUGGGUGAAGAAGGCCUUCGGGUUGUAAAGCCCUUUUGUUGGGAAAGAAAAGCAGCAGGUUAAUACCCCGCUGUUCUGACGGUACCCAAAGAAUAAGCACCGGCUAACUUCGUG